rnacentral:pre_miRNA from 1 species
AGCUGUCACAUGAACAGUAUGACAAGUUUUUAUUCUGUCACUGGGUAUGUGACUGCCAU